GGGGAUUUGCGAAGAGAAAACGCGUGAUUUUCGCUUAAAUGGGGGAUUUGAGAAAACGCGUGAUUUUCGCUUAAAUGGGGGAUUUCUGAAAAGAAAACGCGUGAUUUUCGGGUUAAAUGGAAGCUUCCUGAAGAGAAAAUGCAUGAUUUUUGCUUAAACGGCGGAUUUGUGAAGAGAAAAUGCGUGUUUUUUGCUUAAAUGGGGGAUUUGCGAAGAGAAAACGCGUGAUUUUCGGGUUAAAUGGAAGAUUCCUGAAGAGAAAAUGCGAGAUUUUUGCUUAAACGGCGGAUUUGUGAAGAGAAAACGUGUGUUUUUCGCUUAAAGGGGGAAUUGCAAAUUGAAAAUGUGCCAUUUUCGGGUUAAUUGGGGGAUUUGUGAAGAGAAAACAUGUGUUUUCCACAUAAAUGGGGGAUUUGCGAAGAGAAAACGCGUGAUUUUCGCUUAAAUGGGGGAUUCUCGAAGAGAAAACGCGUGAUUUUCGCUUAAAUGGGGGACUUGCAAAGAGAAUACGCGUCAUUUUGCGUUAAAUGGAGGAUUCUCAAAGAGAAAACGUGAUUUUCGCAUAAAUGUGGGAUUUGAGAAAACGCGUGAUUUUCUUUAAAUGUUGGAUUCUCGAAGAGAAAACGCGUGUUUUUCGCUUAAAUGGGGGAUUUCUGAAAAGAAAACGCGUGAUUUUCGUGUUAAAUGGAAGAUUCCUGAAGAGAAAAUGCAUGAUUUUUGCUUAAACGGCGGAUUUGUGAAGAGAAAAUGCGUGAUUUUUGCUUAAAUGAGGGAUUUGCGAAGAGAAAACGCAUGAUUUUCGGGUUAAAUGGAAGAUUCCUGAAGAGAAAACGCGUGAUAUUUGCUUAAAUGGCGGAUUUGUGAAGAGAAAACGUGUGUUUUUCGCUUAAAUGGGGAUUUGCAAAUUGAAAAUGUGCCAUUUUCGGGUUAAAUGGGGGAUUUCCGAAGAGAAAACAUGUGUUUUCCACAUAAAUGGGGGAUUUGCGAAGAGAAAACGCGUGAUUUUCGCAUAAAUGGGGGAUUCUCGAAAACGCGUGAUUUUCGCUUAAAUGGGGGAUUUCUGAAGAGAAAACGCGUGAUUUUCGCUUAAAUGGGGGACUUGCAAAGAGAAUACGCGCCAUUUUGCGUUAAAUGGAGGAUUCUCAAAGAGAAAACGUGAUUUUCGCAUAAAUGUGGGAUUUGAGAAAACGCGUGAUUUUCGCUUAAAUGUUGGAUUUGAGAAAACGCGUGAUUUUCAUUAAAUGUUGGAUUCUCAAAGAGAAAACGCGUGUUUUUCGCUUAAAUGGGGGAUUUCUGAAAAGAAAACGCGUGAUUUUCG
ensembl:lncRNA